rnacentral:rRNA from 1 species
CCUACGGGGGGCAGCAGUGAGGAAUAUUGGUCAAUGGACGAGAGUCUGAACCAGCCAAGUAGCGUGAAGGAUGACUGCCCUAUGGGUUGUAAACUUCUUUUAUAUGGGAAUAAAAUGUUCCACGUGUGGGAUUUUGUAUGUACCAUAUGAAUAAGCAUCGGCUAACUCCGUGCCAGCAGCCGCGGUAAUACGGAGGAUCCGAGCGUUAUCCGGAUUUAUUGGGUUUAAAGGGAGCGUAGGUGGGUUUUUAAGUCAGUUGUGAAAGUUUGCGGCUCAACCGUAAAAUUGCAGUUGAAACUGGCAGUCUUGAGUACAGUAGAGGUAGGCGGAAUUCGUGGUGUAGCGGUGAAAUGCUUAGAUAUCACGAAGAACUCCGAUUGCGAAGGCAGCUCACUGGACUGCAACUGACACUGAGGCUCGAAAGUGUGGGUAGCAAACAGGAUUAGAUACCCCUGUAGUC